GAUGAACGCUGGCGGCGUGCCUAAUACAUGCAAGUCGAGCGAACAGACGAGGAGCUUGCUCCUCUGACGUUAGCGGCGGACGGGUGAGUAACACUUGGAUAACCUACCUAUAAGACUGUGAUAACUUCGGGAAACCGGAGCUAAUACCGGAUAAUAUAUUGAACCGCAUGGUUCAAUAGUGAAAGACGGUUUUGCUGUCACUUAUGGAUGGAUCCGCGCCGCAUUAGCUAGUUGGUAAGGUAACGGCUUACCAAGGCAACGAUGCGUAGCCGACCUGAGAGGGUGAUCGGGCACACUGGAACUGAGAAACGGUACAGACUCCGACGGGAGGAAGCAGUAGGGAAUCUUACGCAAUGGGCGAAAGCCUGACGGAGCAACGCCGCGUGAGUGAUGAAGGUCUUCGGAUCGUAAAACUCUGUUAUUAGGGAAGAACAAAUGUGUAAGUAACUAUGCACGUCUUGACGGUACCUAAUCAGAAAGCCACGGCUAACUACGUG
rnacentral:rRNA from 1 species